rnacentral:misc_RNA from 1 species
CAUUUUAAAUAUUUUCUGAUUUUUGGCUCUCUUUGAAAAUAAGGAAAUAGUAUUAUAAUUAACUCCUUGAUUUAUUUUAUUUCCAUUAUUGUGCUCCCCCUUAUUUGCUAUAUAAAUAGGACUCCCUCCCCUCCUUUCAGACACACAUUGACAUCUUUGAAAAGAACUCACAUUCUCUAAACUCAUUCUUACUUUCUUACUACAAAUGCUACAUUAUUCUUAAACUUUCUUAUUCUCUCAUUGCUCAUACAUACAUGAACUCAUCAACAUACACUCAUUCACUCUCAAUCACAAAAACUCUCUCAUCAUUCUCCCUUCUCUCAUUCGCUCUCUUGCUACCUUAACAAUACAUCGAGAAUUCGGUUUCAUA